GACAGAGGGUGCAAACGUUGCUCGGAAUUACUGGGCGUAAAGCGUGCGUAGGUGGUUCGUUAAGUCCGUUGUGAAAGCCCCGAGCUCAACUUGGGAAUUGCAGUGGAUACUGGCGAGCUGGAGUGCGGUAGAGGAAGGUGGAAUUCCCGGUGUAGCGGUGAAAUGCGUAGAGAUCGGGAGGAACACCAGUGGCGAAGGCGGCCUUCUGGACCAGCACUGACACUCAAGCACGAAAGCGUGGGGAGCAAACAGG
rnacentral:rRNA from 1 species